rnacentral:rRNA from 1 species
GGGUUGUGAGGUUAAGCGACUAAGCGUACACGGUGGAUGCCCUGGCAGUCAGAGGCGAUGAAGGACGUGCUAAUCUGCGAUAAGCGUCGGUGAGGUGAUAUGAACCGUUAUAACCGGCGAUUUCCGAAUGGGGAAACCCAGUGUGUUUCGACACACUAUCAUUAACUGAAUCCAUAGGUUAAUGAGGCGAACCGGGGGAACUGAAACAUCUAAGUACCCCGAGGAAAAGAAAUCAACCGAGAUUCCCCCAGUAGCGGCGAGCGAACGGGGAGGAGCCCAGAGCCUGAAUCAGUGUGUGUGUUAGUGGAAGCGUCUGGAAAGGCGCGCGAUACAGGGUGACAGCCCCGUACACAAAAAUGCACAUGCUGUGAGCUCGAUGAGUAGGGCGGGACACGUGGUAUCCUGUCUGAAUAUGGGGGGACCAUCCUCCAAGGCUAAAUACUCCUGACUGACCGAUAGUGAACCAGUACCGUGAGGGAAAGGCGAAAAGAACCCCGGCGAGGGGAGUGAAAAAGAACCUGAAACCGUGUACGUACAAGCAGUGGGAGCCUCUUAAUGGGGUGACUGCGUACCUUUUGUAUAAUGGGUCAGCGACUUAUAUUCUGUAGCAAGGUUAACCGAAUAGGGGAGCCGAAGGGAAACCGAGUCUUAACUGGGCGUUAAGUUGCAGGGUAUAGACCCGAAACCCGGUGAUCUAGCCAUGGGCAGGUUGAAGGUUGGGUAACACUAACUGGAGGACCGAACCGACUAAUGUUGAAAAAUUAGCGGAUGACUUGUGGCUGGGGGUGAAAGGCCAAUCAAACCGGGAGAUAGCUGGUUCUCCCCGAAAGCUAUUUAGGUAGCGCCUCGUGAAUUCAUCUCCGGGGGUAGAGCACUGUUUCGGCAAGGGGGUCAUCCCGACUUACCAACCCGAUGCAAACUGCGAAUACCGGAGAAUGUUAUCACGGGAGACACACGGCGGGUGCUAACGUCCGUCGUGAAGAGGGAAACAACCCAGACCGCCAGCUAAGGUCCCAAAGUCAUGGUUAAGUGGGAAACGAUGUGGGAAGGCCCAGACAGCCAGGAUGUUGGCUUAGAAGCAGCCAUCAUUUAAAGAAAGCGUAAUAGCUCACUGGUCGAGUCGGCCUGCGCGGAAGAUGUAACGGGGCUAAACCAUGCACCGAAGCUGCGGCAGCGACGCUUAUGCGUUGUUGGGUAGGGGAGCGUUCUGUAAGCCUGUGAAGGUGUGCUGUGAGGCAUGCUGGAGGUAUCAGAAGUGCGAAUGCUGACAUAAGUA